rnacentral:tRNA from 1 species
UGGGGUGUGGCUCAGUGCUAAAGCACUAGCCUAACAUGCUAGAGGCUCUGGGUCCCAUUCCCAGCACUCAAA